GACCCAGUGGUGGAUAGAUCAUGCCUGCCCCUCUUCACGGGUUCGCCACAGUUAAAGCAGGUGUCCCCGGUUCGAUUCCGGGUUGGGUCG